GGGGGAAAAAAAAGAACCAAGAUAUAUCAUGUACAGGUACAAACACCCAAUGAUAAAUGUAAACGAAUUGUAUACCUAAAAUGUACCAAUAAAACAACUAAAAAAAAAAAAAAAGAGGUGGCUGGGCACUGAGAUUCUUUUUUUUUUUUCCCCCAUUAAGUUUAUUGGUACAUUUUAGGUAUAAAUUAUAGUUACAUUCAUCAUUGGGAUCUUGUACCAUUACAUGAGUCUCUUGGUUCUUAUUUUUUUUCCCCUUCCCUUGCCCUCCCUUCACCCCCUCCACCCUUCCCUAUUUGCAAAGACCUUGUUUCCAUUUUUUUCCUCUUCUCAUAUUUUUUCCUUUCCCUUUUUUUCCUUCCCCUACCUCUCCCAAUUCCCCUGCUCUUUUAAACCUUUUCUUCCUGUCACACAAUAUCAGUUAUACAUUUUUAAAAUUACAAUAUUAAGAUCUAGGAGACAUUACCACACAUUUUACAGAAUUUAAAAGGAUAUAGAAAGCAUAUUACAAAAAUCUUUUUUGAAAUAAAUUUGACAACUUCUAAGAAGUAACUUAGAAGGCAAAUUAAUGAAACUAACUCUGGAGGAAAUAUAAAAUUUGAAUAGCACCUAUUAAAGAAAUUAUAUUCCUAGCUUGACAGCCUACCUAUAUGAUAACAAUAGGCUCAUAUACAUUUUAACUGAUAAGUUAUAUCAAACAUUUAAAGGAGAAAAAAGAGGGAACACUUCUCCCCUCAUUUUAGGAAAUCUACAUUGUGCUAAUACUAAAACUGGAUAAAGAUAAUAGAAGAAAAAAGUAUGAACAUAGAUAGAAAUUUGUUUAACAAAACAAACUAUUAGAAGUCAGAUCUGGGAGUAUGUAGAAAGUGGUUUUAUUAUAGGGAUGGCAGUGUUGGUUCAGCAUUGGAAGAUCCACCCCCAAAAGUCAUCAUUUUAACAGAGGAAAGGAGAAAGCCAUAUGAUCCUGUCAAUAGUUGGAGAAAGAGUAUUGGAUUGAAUUCUACGGCUGUUCAUGGUAAAAGCUAUCAGGAGACUAGAAGUAGAACAGAACCUUCUCAACAGAUCAAAGACAUGUACUCCAUACUUCCAACAAAAACUCCUUCUAUGAACGGAGACGAUACAAUGCUUUCUCCCUAAAGUGGGGAACAAGGGCAGAUAUGCUUACUCUUCAUCUGUCCAUUAGACUUUGAAACAUAGGUCUAAUCCAAAAUAGUCUGGCAAUAAAAUAACACAACUAGGAUAGGAUUGGCAAGGUAGAAGCAAAAUCUUUAUAUGUAGAUGAAAUGAUCAUCUACAAAGAAAAUAUUAAGAAAUCUCUAGGAGCCCCUAGAACUUAUAUUUGAAUUUAGCAGGAUUAGAAAACACAAGGUAUAUAUAAAAAUUCAGGUCUGUGUAUACUUGCUAUAAAUGAAGAACUGGAUAUUGAAAUUUAAAAGUUAUGUAGGAGUACAAAGGGUGUAGAAAAUUGAAAAGAAAAAAAAAUACAGUGUUGGAAAAUGUUUAGUACUUAAUUUUAAGACUUCCUCUAAAACUGCAGUAAUCAAGGCAGUGUUGGUAUAAGGAAAGACACAUAGAUCAUUGGAAUAAAACAGAGAAUCUAGAAUUAGAACCACACAUAUAUGGUCCACUGAGUUUUGAAAGAUUAUUUAACAUUAACAUUUUAUAGAACAUAAACUCAAUUCAAGAGCCAAGGAAAAGAUAGUGUUUUCAGCAAAUGGCUCUAGAACACCUGGUGUCUGUAUAUAAAAAAUUAACCUCUACCCUUUAUUUCCAUACAUAAAAAUAACCUGAAAGGAUCUAAGAACCUAAAUAUGAAAGACUAAAACUAUAAAACUUUAAGAAGAAAUUAUAAGGGAAAAUGUUUAUGAAUUUAGGGUAGGCAAGAACUUCCUAGGAUACAAAAAACAUGAUGUAUAAAAGAAAAAAAUUGAUAAAUGAGAUUCCAUCAAAAUUUAGAGCUUUAAAUGACAUCGUUAAAAUGAAAAGUAGUCCUUAAACAGACCAUAUUUACAAUGCAUAUAACCUAGGUCAUGGGGUUAUUGUAUGAGUUCUUUUUCUGUAGCUUCCUUCCCUUCCCUGCCUUUUCUACCUGGCUCCCUCAUGCUCGUCCCCCAGGAAGGUGCCAUGAGAUUAUCCCUUCCACGGAAUCUUUCUUGAACCCUGGAGUCUGCCUUUCUGUCCCCAUUCCUCCUUGUACUUCCCUCUAACUUAGCAGGAAACACACUCUGUCAUCGUCCUCUGCUGUCCUUCCCUCUCUAGAUCAGAGCACCUUGAUGAAAGCAGGAGACUGUCUUCUUUGCUUCCCUGGCAUAGAUUUGGUUGAAUUGUACACAGUUGUCAUUUAGUAAGGGAAUUUGGUUUGUUAUUCUUCUCCCUCGGAGGUGACUUUCCUUUGUUAGCUCAUUUUGAAUCUUUUCUGAAGUCACAAGCCCCUUUCCUAGUUUGGCCUUAGCCAAGUUUCAUCAGAUGGGCACACCAGUCUGUCUAUUCUAGCUUCUGUUUUAUUAACUUUCUUUUUGUUUUUCUCUAUACUUCAUAGGACAGGUCAAAAGAAAUUACUUUUCUACCCAAGACUGGGGAUUGAACCUAGGACCUUUACACUGAGUUACAUGUCUACUGUUAAAACAAAACAAAACAAACAAACAAAAAAGCCUUUUUAAUUUUGAGAUACUGUUUUGCUAACAAGUUGCCUCAGCUUGUCAGUGCUAGGCUUACCAACAUGUGCCACUAUACUCAGUUGAAACUGCUUCAUACAAAGUCUUCCCCAGUUAGCCAGGCAUGAUGGUACAUGCCUGUAAUCCCAGAACUCAGGAGGCUGAGGCAGAAGGAUCACCAUGAGUUUGAGGCCAACCUGGGCUACAUAGUGAGUUCAAGGCCAGCCUGAACUACAUAGUGAGACCCUGUCUCCAAAAAAAGUCCCUAGUUGCAAAAAUUUUUCAACAAUUUGUUAAUGUAUGUCAUCUUCCCUGUUUCUUUAUUGUGUUACCUACAUGCCUUGUAGAAAUCAGAACUCAUUCUAGUUUCUCUUGGACUAGUGUGUCUCAUGCUGGAGUCUUGUUUAAAUGUAUUGGUGGAGC
rnacentral:lncRNA from 1 species